rnacentral:tRNA from 1 species
AUCCAAAUAGUUUAAUUAGAAUAAUAAUUUGUGGUGUUAUAGGUGUAAAGUACUUUGGAUU